rnacentral:rRNA from 1 species
AUUGAACGCUGGCGGCGUGCCUAACACAUGCAAGUCGAGCGGUAACAGGUGUAGCAAUACAUGCUGACGAGCGGCGAACGGGUGAGUAAUGCUUCGGAAUCUACCCAAUGGUGGGGAAUAACCAGCCGAAAGGUUGGCUAAUACCGCAUACGUCCUACGGGAGAAAGCAGGGGAUCGUAAGACCUUGCGCCAAUGGAUGAGCCGAAGUCGGAUUAGCUAGUUGGAGGGUAACGGCCUACCAAGGCGACGAUCCGUAGCUGGUCUGAGAGGACGACCAGCCACACUGGGACUGAGACACGGCCCAGACUCCUACGGGAGGCAGCAGUGGGGAAUAUUGGACAAUGGGGGAAACCCUGAUCCAGCGACGCCGCGUGUGUGAAGAAGGCCUGCGGGUUGUAAAGCACUUUUAGUGGGGAUGAAAAGUUCAGGGCUAAUACCCCUGGAUCUUGACCUAA